UUUACAGUCAAUAAAGAGACUUAGAAUCUGUGUGUCUUUCUAUUUAGUUAAGAAAUUUCAGUAGAGUAUAUGUAGGUACCAUCAGGACAUUUAAACUAUGACCACUGAGGUAAUCAGCAACUUAUAUCUCAAAAACUUUAAAGUCUGAUUUAUAUAGGUACCAUCAGGACAUUAAAACUGUGGCUGAUGAGGUAACCAGCAACUUACACCUCAAAAACUAGAUCUGAUAGACAAAAUCUAAUGACUGUUUUGGUUUCUGCUUUCCAGACCAAUUGAACAAUCGUUGGCAUAAAAUAGCUGUGUCUGGCUCAAAUAAAACUGAUGUUUCAAAGGAAUCUGCUUUAUCUAGGUACCAUCAGGACAUUAAAACUAUGGCUGAUGAGACCAAUUGAACAAUCGUUGGCAUAAAAUGGCUGUGUCUGGCUCAAAUAAAACUGAUGUUUCAAAGGAGUCCGCUUUAUCUAGGUACCAUCAGGACAUUAAAACUAUGGCUGAUGAGGUAACCAGCAAUUCAUAUCUUAAAAACUAGAUCUGAUAGACAAAAUAUAAUGACUGUUUUGAUUUCUGCUUUCCAGAACAGUUGAAAUAUCGUUGGCAUAAAGAAGCUGUGUCUGACUCAAAUAAAACUGAUGUUUCAAAGGAGUCUGCUUUAUCUAGGUACCAUCAGGACAUUAAAACUAUGGCUGAUGAGACCAAUUGAACAAUCGUUGGCAUAAAAUAGCUGUGUCUGGCUCAAAUAAAACUGAUGUUUCAAAGGAGUCUGCUUUAUCUAGAUACCAUCAGGACAUUAAAACUAUGGCUGAUGAGAUAACCAGCAAUUCAUAUCUUAAAAACUAGAUCUGAUAGACAAAAUAUAAUGACUGUUUUGGUUUCUGCUUUCCAGAACAAUUG